AUAUAUUUUUAUGAAAACUAAAUUUGAUAUGCAUACAAUAGCGUUAUUUUUAUUUAACAUACGAACACACAGUCACGCAAUAUCGACACACACACAUAUAUAUAUACACAUACAUAUAUAUUUAUAUAUAUUUAUAUAAUAUAAAUAUGUAUAUACAUAUAUAUAUACAUGUGUAAAAAAUACACAUGUACAUGAUCGAACAAAUAAAUAUACACUCUGCCUUUCUCUCUACAUACGUGAGAUCAUAUUAAAAAUACACAUACAAACAUAUUGUGACCUAUAAUUUUUCGAUAUUAUACGUACAUACGCGUAUAUAAGCGUGCGUUUGUAGAACGGAGUCAGUGAGCUUGUAUGUGAGAGCAUGCAUUUUAUAACUCGUUGUAAAAUAUAUAUAAAAGAAAAGAAGUUAAACAAACAAAAACAAAAAAAAAGGAAAAGGAAAAAUGGAAUAACAUUCGGUGAGUACGCACAUUUGAAAUACUCCGUACGAAAUACACACGCGUUAAAUCUAUACGUAUUUUAUCACAGCAUUUUUCAUACUAACACAAAAGAACAACAAACAAAACAAACUUCAUCACACGCUCACAAGUAUACGUACGAGUGUGCGAAAAAAACGCACACGUGGAACACACUAAUUGUGGCCUUAUCCGCACGAAUACAUAGAGAAUAACUAACGUUUUACGAUAUGUAAUAUAUUAUGUAUAUCGUAUCGAAUGAUACUUAAUACGUAUGAAAGGAAAAAACGUAACGUCGGAUACGAUAAUGAAAAAUGAAAGGUGAAAAGUGAAAAAUGGAAAAAAAAAAAAUAAAAAAAAUACAAAAGAAAAAUAUCCUGACGAAUAAGUUACAUUCGUCAUAUGUUCUUACGGAUCGACUCACAUACUAAUCGCCUUAAUUAGUAAAACAGAUUAUAAAAAGAGAUUAUUCUAUAUUCAACGUAUGGCAUACACUGUUACACUGUAAAAUUGAUCAAAUAAAUGUAAUUAUUUACAAACGAAAAACUCGGAUUUUCUAAACGAGUUUACGUUCCAUGGAUCUUUAAAUAUCAACAACGUGAAAGUUAUUUCGAUUAAUUUUGGAUGAAGAUGGCAAAAAUGAAAUUGAUCAAGGAUAAAGAUAGAUCUCUUACGAUCGAGAUGAUAGAAAAAUGGACAUUGAAAUUCGCAGAUGCACGUUGGCUAUGCAACGUCCCACGUGCGAAAGAAGGAGCGAACGAACGAAGCAGUGCUCGGGGUAAAGCGAGGUCGAUGGAAAGUGGCAUAAUCGCGGAUGUGGAUUGGCUCAAGGAGAGCACAGGAGGAGAUCCUUUACCUUACUUAUGUAACGAGCGAGCGCGACCGUGGUGUCUCGUGUCUUCGACCGCAUCUCUUUAAGAGGAAGAGAGUAUGCAAGAGUGAAAGAAAGGAAGACAGAUAGAUAGAAAGAGAGAGAGAGGAAGAGAAAGAGAUAGAGAGAGAGAGAGAGAGAGAGAGAGAGAGAGAGAUGUACCCCUUCUCUUUUACACUCCUUUACCCUCCCAUCCUUACUUCCAAUCACCGCACUGUCCCUGAAAAUCCCACUGCUGCUUCUAACUUUUUCUCCCCACCAUUAGCCAAUGCAAAUCGCUUCUCGUAUACUUCUACCUCCCUUUUCCUCUUCCCUUUCGUUUCUUCCCACAUUCGACGUACCAAUUAAUUAAACGUACUCGAACGUUUCGAGCAAUCUUCCAUCGUUCGUUACAGAGGUAAGAUCUCUUUAUCUUUGUUUCCCUUUCGAUUUUCUUCUUCAUGGAUGAUUAUAAAUAGUCUGAUAAUAUUUUAUAAUGUUAAAAUGUGUCUAUUUAAACGACUUGAAAAAUGUUUAUACAAGAAUAUAAAGGAAAGAAAAAUAUAAUAUUAUCGCGACAGAGAUAUAUAUCGGAUUUGAAGGAAAUAUUCGUAUUAUCGUUGGACCUUGCAUAAAACGAAGGAAACAUUCUCAAGAAACAAAACUUAUCGAAGAGGUUUCUCCUCGUUAGCCUAGUCCUCAUGACGAACGGAUACGAGUGAGCGCGUUUAUAUCAUGCAUUCCGCGUAGGCGCGUGCCGAGGCGAGAAAAGCGAUUUCCUUGCGCGCUAUCGCGAGAGUGAAUAUCCUGUAAUUACAUGUUACGUCUCUUGUAAGAGUACAAAAUCAAUGCCAGGUUCAAUGUCGAAGUCGGUUUCUCAAGACGUCGACUAAGGAAAUUCUUUCUUCCAUGAAAAACUAAUAUCUAUUUGUAUCUUUACGUUUCUGCUUUUACAUUUCCUAUGCUCUGUCUAUCUUUUCCUUGACUUUAUAACAAAUCGAUUACGUUCAUUAGUCGCCUUAAUCGAAAGUCUAUCGUGAUUAUUAAUUAUUUAAAGUGAACUUUAUAAGGUACUUUAUAAGGUAGUCUUUUAUUCAUGUAUCUAAUAACUGUUCAAUCUGUAGAUAAUAAGAAAGAGAAAAUAGUAAGAUUUUUAUAUAAAAACGAUCGAAAUUGUAUUAUUGACUGUUGUAAUAUUUUUAAUACCAUCUUGAAUCAAUAUUCAUAAUACCAUUGAAAAUAUUUUUCUUCUUUCGAUCAUUUUUACGCAAAUCACUUUAUUUAUAUUAAUGAUUAAUCUUUUUUCAAGGACAUAUGAAUUUAUUACAAAUCUUUUUAUAACGUCCUUUUAAAUAUCAAAAUUCGAUUAUUUUCUUUUAUAGGAUGAUACGAUCCUCUCUUCAAGAUUAACACGCGUGUAGAUCAGACAAGGACGGACCGUAAACAUCUAAAUCUACCAUGAAGGAAUUGUGGCCUUGGCCACGGAUUUCAAACAUUUUUUUUUUAAAGCCUCCUACGAUCUAACAGACGUAACGUUACAUCCUCGAUAGUCCGGUUUAUAAUCUUCGAGGGUCCUACUUUGGACCAUCUGACUCGUUUCAUUUUAUUUUUUCUUUCUGUUUUUUUUUUUUCUUUCUUUUUUCCUUUUCGAAGGUUCCUCUCAUCGUUCCUCUUAUAGUCGGAUUACGAAUCCUUUUCGUCAACCUCGAACGCAGAGGUCGUAUGAAAUAUUGUUCAUUUUUUAUUUUGUCGAUGCUUAAAUUUAUAUAAUCUUUGAAAUAUGUAAUACUGGUAAAUUUUGUAAUAGUAAUCAAUUAUGAAAGUAAGAAUGAACUCAUAAAUCGUAGAGAAAAGAGUAUGAAAAAAAUAAUAAAUGAUAAUUUCUAAAGGUGUUACAAUAGCGAUCGAUCGAAGGAUGAUUUCGACACCGAAAAUAAGGUUCUUCAUUGUCAGAGGUCGACCGUAGGUUCAACGUUCGGGCCGUUUACCUGUAACCGACCUCGAAUCUUUGGCCAAUGACAUUGCGGAAAGUAACAUUAGCAUUUUGUACGAGUCGUCCACGGAAGAUAAAGGCUGUAAGCAUGAUCUUACGUACGUAUAUAUGUACGUUCAUACGUAGGAAAACAUCGAUGCGAAUAUUAUUUUUAAAAUAUUUUUCACAUAAUACUUAGGUAUCUAGUUUAAAGAAAUCGUUAUGAUGAAAAUAUGUUCGGAAAAAAAACGAGUCGAAGUUCUUUGCCCUUUGAAUAUAAAAUUGAAACAAAUAAGAGACAGAGAGAGAAAGAGAGAGAGAGAGAGAGAGAGAGAGAGAGAGAGAGAGAGAAAUAAGAGACUACUAUGUAAUACAUAAAAAAAAAGUGACGUAAACUUCGAAUGUUUCUUGAAAAGGGCUGAUUAUUUAUGCUACGACCUUCGACGCGGACAGGUGCGAUACGGCUGGCUUGUACGUAAUUCCGUCGCUUGUAAACAUUUUAUAACGCUAUAAAUAUUAACCGCAGUACCCGUAUUACCGUACACAUUUGCGUACGUACGUAUCUUUUAUAUAACGAGAUGCUUGUUGAUGCGAAUCUCGAGCGUUUUCGAAUGGAGGAAGCGUUGGAUCCAGUUAUAUCUCGGUGGAUCCUGAUAAAUCGAAAGGUUUUAAUAAUAAAAAUAUCGAUAAGAGAA